rnacentral:tRNA from 1 species
AAAAGAUGUAGUUAAAUUCUAUAACAUUAUCCCUGUCAAGGUAAAAUUACUUUCAUGUUAUCUUUUA